CGCACAUUGCGCCCCCUGGCAUUCCGGGGGGCAUGCCUGUCCGAGCGUCAUUUCUGCCCUCAAGCACGGCUUGUGUGUUGGGUGCGGUCCCCCCGGGGACCUGCCCGAAAGGCAGCGGCGACGUCCGUCUGGUCCUCGAGCGUAUGGGGCUUUGUCACUCGCUCGGGAAGGACUGGCGGGGGUUGGUCACCACCAAAAUUUUACCACGGUUGACCUCGGAUCAGGUAGGAGUUACCCGCUGAACUUAA
rnacentral:misc_RNA from 1 species